UUCAACCCACAUAAAACCGCCACAUACGCCGGAACCAUUGGUGCGGUUUCGGUUCCAAUUUGGUCACUUGCUCAGCCCAACUUAUGAGUGCACGCGCGCACACAUACAUUUGCAACUUCUGUUUAAUUUCCUUAUGUCAGUAUGUUUUUGAUGUUAUCUGUACUUUUCAGUAGUCUGCAAAAAAGGUUUUAUAUAGAUAAUAAUAUAUUUCCUUUGGUCCACAAAAAGAGUCCCAUUUGUUAAAUUUUCAAAUAUUAAAUAUUUAUUCUUGUUCCAUGUUUACCCCUAAAAAUAAUAAGUUGUUAGUUUAGUUAGGGUGACAUGAUAAGGAAAUUAUGAUGACAAACUUUAGAACAUUUUGUCGUUAUGUAUUACUAUUAGUAAAAAAAAUGACUCUUUUGUGGAACAAUAUUUUUUGACAAAUGAGACUUGUAUCAUUUGACAAUUUGUUAGAUAGAGAUAAUUUACUGCAAGUUCAACUAUGGUAUGAUAUGUUACGUAUACUUUACGAGUGUGUUCAUUGAAUUGGAAAUCUAAUGACACUAGUGACACGCCUCACAGGUUUGCCAAAUACUUGUUUUUAAUUAUGCUUAGACUACUGACAUUUGCAGUUGACAUUAUAUGUUUCUUUGCUUGUUCUUGAAUAUCCUUAUUGAUUCUUCUUUUGGGUGAUUUUGGGGAUUGUAUACAUGUGAUUACAUUAAAAUUCAAUUUAAUUAAAAACUUUCAGUGUAUCACGGAGCACCCUCAUCUAUGUAUUUCUUUUAAUUAAAUAUGAUGCCUGCACACGAGUUAAUUUAAUUGCCUCUUGGAUGAUCCAGUAACUAAAAGACUCACUACCAUAUUUUAUAGAAGUAAAAAAAUAGUUUGAGUAUGGUUCAACUCUAUGUUUGGAUAGUGGUUCAAGAAUAGUUUGUUGGUAAUUUUGUUUUCUCCUUGUGGGUAUCUGUAGGACUUGGUGCCUACCAUGCUUGUCAAGUCGUCGACUAGUCGUCGCCUAGGCGACGACUAGGCGUCUAGUCGGUAAUAAUUUUCGAGGCGUCAGGACGACUUGGUGGGAGAGCAGAAAGGCGCGCGCUCAGUCGCUAACCUGGACAACUUGGACGAAAGACGAUCGACUUGGACUACUAUAUUGAUAAGCGGUCGACUUGCCGGAGUGGGAUUGGUCCAAGCCGAAGCUGUUAACAGCGUAAAAAGAAGCCUAAAGUUCGAAACUUCAGUUCAUCAGAGAGGAGAAACGAAAAGAGGCCAUACCCAAUCGAUCGGCGACUGACAACUUCGGCGACUAACUCCGGCGACUCAACUGACUUCGUCGACUUCGCUUCUGUGUGGCUUCGGCGACUCAACUGACUUCGCUUCAACUGACUUCGCUUCGCUUCGGCGACUAACUGGGUUUGGUUUGUUGACUGUAUUCUAUGCUUAUGCUUAGACCAUCUAUGCUUAUGCUUAGACCAUCGUACACAUCACGCCUCAACUGACUGUAUUCUAUUCUAUGAAGUAGUAAUACUUUAUUACUUGAAUUAGAGGCAUGUGUUGUUGCCUAUAUACUGUUAUUACUUUAUUACAUAACUUUAUUACUUUAUAUAGUGCAUAACUUUAUUACUUGUCUGUACUAUAUUAUAUUAUAAUUUGUACUAUAUUAUAUUGUAAUUUGUACUGUAUUAUAUUAUCUAUAAUACAAGUUAUCACUAGUGUCUGCUGCCUAUACUGCUAUAUUAUAUAAUUCUGUCCUUUUUGUAAAAUUAAUGUAACAUCUUAAUGUAAAAUUAUAAUAGGAUGCUUAAUUAUAAAUUCAUGGUAUUCUAUAUAUAUAAUAUUAAAACUUAAAAAACUAAACAUAAAUUUAAAAAUUAUAUUGAAUUAAACUAAAUAUUGCAAAUGUAUCACCAUUUAUAUAAUUUGAAGUUGGUACAAGUUUAAAAAAUUACAAGUUUACAACUUUAAUAAAAUUAUCCAUUUUGACUUGAUCUUGUUCAAUAUUCAUAUAAAUAUUAAAUAUAUAUAAUUUUAUUCGUAUAAAAUUUACAUUGUUAACGACUUGUCGACUUGUGGACGACUACUCGGGCGUCUUGUCGCCUAAGCGCUUAAGCUCCCGGCUGUCGACUCGCCUCGACUUGUCGCCUUGAUAACUAUGGUGCCUACUGCUACUACUAAGUCUCUCCUAGGACAUGUGUCUGUUAUUGGCCCUUUAUGUUUAGAUGAUAUUUCAUUUAUGUAGGGAAUGAAACUAUGUGAAAGAAAGCAUGAAAACAAUUACGCAUAAAUAAAACUCAGCAGAACCUUAUGAAUCCUUGUCCCAACUAUUACAAAAGGUCAUACAAAGUUCUAUGCUGGCUGUCAACCACAUGUGACACACCGCUCUUGCUUUUUGUGACUGUGGGAGUGACGGUGUAUAGAUUAUGAUGUGACUCUCAGAGCACCACAUGAUAGUGAUGAUGCAAAUUACAUUAUUGUUAUUAUUGUUGUUGUCAUUUUGGAUGCAAUGUCUUUCUAAGCUAGUUUGUUGCUGUUGAAGAAGGUUUUAAUGUUAAAGGUAAUGAUGAAUCUGAAUUUAUUGGUCAUUAUAUAUUCGUUCUUUCUAUAAGAGAUGUGUGAGUUCAAUAUUUCAAAUAUAUUUAUUGUCGAUAUAUUGAGAUUUCCAAUCUGAUAUAUAUUGUGAAGAUUUGAAUGAUAGAGUUGUGAGAAUUUCUAGUCAAUCAUGAUUAGGAAUUGUAAAUGAUGUUAAUAGAACAGCAAGAUGCACAUAACAUGUCAAGGAAACAUAAUACUCCCUCCAUUCCAAAAUUUAAGAUGAUUAUUGACUAACUUUUUCAUUGUGAACCAUCUUUGGAUCUUUAAUUUGUGCAACACCCUCAAUUUUCCCCAUUCUGCAUCACAUGAGAUAGAAUCGGGCGGAACUAGAGAGGACUUAGAUGAGAGGAUCAUUGCCCCUUGAGUUGGAUACUUGCUUGACCUCUGAGAUAUUAUCAGCAUAUCAUUAGAUGAUUAAGACAGUCUGGAUUGGUGCAUCUUCAGUAACUGUGGAUGUUCUGCUUUACAAAGCAUCAGUGUCAGUUGUUGAUUGAGCAUUUAUACAAAACUUUCAAGCCCUAGAGAGUAGAGAGAGAGUAUGUGAGGGAGAAGGUGCGGUGGGGUGAAAAGAGGCAUUCCAGUUAUGGCUAAGGUCUCAUUAUCCUUGUACUCUUAUUGUCUUUUUGAUAGUGAAUAAUGGUUGGUAGAUCUUCACAUCUUGGACUUGAUUUCAUGACUGUUUGCAUGGGGCAAUAGUUUCUAUGCUGGCAGAUAAAUCCACAUUUUCUUUUCUUAUGUAUUGAUUUUUUCUUUUACGGUUUGACCUUUUGUUGUGGAAUCUCUUUUGAACAAUGCCUUUUGAUUUUUUUGCGUUAUCUGCAUUUCAGUUCUUAUUUCCGUAUUUUGACAUCUUAGAAAAUACUUGCCUACUUAUCUAG
rnacentral:lncRNA from 1 species